GAGGGACUCCAGGGAGACAUCAAGUCUGCAUAUAGUAACAUACUCUUGGGGGGAACCAAUCUAGUGUCAUGUGACUGCCCUCAUUCCAGAGAACCAGAAUUAAUGCACACGUGAGGAUGGGGCCUUCAGGAAUGAAUGACCUUUCACUCGGCCCUACCUCUCUGAGUUUCCACUGCUCCAAUACCACUGAACUGGAACCAAGUGACCUUCCAGAAUGUCAUUCUUUGGGAACAAAUCAAAUCACAUUAUCACGUCAUCCACAUUUUCAAGCUUUGGGAGAAAGGAUGUGGGCACAUAACUGGCCAUACAGCAUGAGAACUAUCAGAACCCAAGAGGACACACAGGACAGACAAUACUGCCCAGGAAGGUUCACAGAGAAGAAUACAUGUUCUGAUAUUUAAAAGAGAGAGAAGCUCAAUCUUGACCUUGGAUGGCCUUUGGAGCUGUCUGAAAUAGAGGGACAAUAGACAGGAUGAAUUACGCAAGCAUCAGUGGCUACCUUGGCUCUGCGUGCCUCCGUCUGAGUCUCGGCUAUAACAUAUCCACACUUGGAUACACCAGGCUUCUUAUUCUCUGGAUUCAACUGCCUCUGCUGACCUGCGCUGAACUGCACAAACUCAUGAAUGAACUCAACUCCAAUGCACUGCACCCACUGAAAUGACUCCCAACUCUCUGACCACCCUAUCUAUCUGCUUGUCUGUCUGUCUGUCUGUCUGUCUGUCUGUCUGUCUGUCUCCUUGUACUGCUCUCUGUGCUGUUCUCUUGAGAGUUGGGCAUAUUCGAUCUCUAACUCUAACUUUCAAAUCUUUCUCUGAUUCAUCACUUUGUUCUUCAACUAGAUGUCAAAUUUAAACAUGACUACUUCCUUUUACAACUUUAACCUUAAAGGUGUGUACUACAGGCAGGCCUGUAUUCCAGCCAGAUGGAUUAAAGUGUGUGACAGGUCUGCAUUCCAGGCAGAUCCCACA